UGAGUAACACGUGAGUGACCUGCCUUUUAGACUGGAACAACUUACCGAAAGGUGAGCUAAUGCCGGAUGAGUUAUAUAAGUGCAUGUUUAUAUAGGAAAAGUUGGGGAGACCUGACGCUGAAAGAUGGACUCGCGUCCCAUUAGCUAGUUGGUAGGGUAAUGGCCUACCAAGGCGACGAUGGGUAGCCGGCCUGAGAGGGUGGCCGGCCACACUGGGACUGAGACACGGCCCAAACUCCUACGGGAGGCAGCAG
rnacentral:rRNA from 1 species